CCACACAAAUCUUAUCCACUCCCCCAUCCACUCCUCCCGCGGGUUCACUCUCUCCCCUUCCUCUCGAGCUUGUGCGGCGGAAUCUUCAGAGACCACGGCGAGAGGAGCUCGUGCCGGUGGCUGCGUCGGUGGCCUACUCAGACCCCGCGACGGAGGAGCUGCUCAUGGACGCGCGCGCGGCUCUCCCAAGCGCUCCUGCUCAGCGGCUCCGGCGACGCGCGCGCUGGCGGUGAGGAGCGGCAGGAAGGAGAUGUGGUGAUGCGUUCGACAACGAUGGCCACCCCUGCUACUGUCCUCGGUGCUGGCGCUCGUUCCCUGCCUGCGACGAUGGCGCCGCCAGGAACGGCGCCCUCCGCUCUUCCCCACCAUUCUCGCUUGAUCUGGUGGCAAGGGUGCUCAGGAGCGAUUCGUCGGCGGCGGGGGAGGCGGAGCUCGACAAGGAGGUGAGCGAGGUCGUGCGUCUGUCAGGGAGAUGGUCACCGGGAGGCGUAGGGGUCCGAGGGAGAGGCCACGGAGGUGAGCAGAGGUUGACGACGAGCUGCCGUGCUUCACCGUCGGCAUGAGGCGCAGCUGGGCCAGGAGGUGGAUGAGGCCCUGCUACUUGCAGCGGAGCUGCUCAUCGGCGUGGACGCCGUCUUCUUCGUGUGUGUCGCCGAUGGGGAACUGCUCGCCGGAUUUCGUCGCGACCUCAGGGAAACGAGACCUGGAGGCCGCUCGGUCGUGGGGGCUUCUCGUACGAGAACAUUUGUUCUGGCGAUCCCUCCUACUGCACGAAUCGUUCGAUGCAUGGGGUUCUCCUGCCACACGUGUAGGUAGUUUUGAUGUGCGCCCACACAGGAUUGUGUGGGCUGCCUGUUGGAUAUGCCACACAGGCUUGUGUGGGCGAGUGUCCAUUGUGCCACACGUGUGGCAGUUAUUGCGACCCUAUUCUUUUAGUAAUAGUACUAAUUUCCACAGUA